rnacentral:rRNA from 1 species
UACAGAGACCUCAAGCGUUAUCCGGAAUCAUUGGGCGUAAAGCGUACCGAUAGGUGGUUUUACAAGUCAGAAGUGAAAUCUCUCAGCUUAACUGGGAGACUGUCUUUUGAAACUGUAAAACUAGAGGGGCAAAGAGGAAGCUGGAACGAACGGUGUAGUAGUGAAAUGCGUUGAUAUCGUUCGGAACACCAAUAGCGUAGGCAAGCUUCUGGGUGCCACCUGACACUGCUAGGACGAAAGCGUGGGGAGCGAAUGGG